rfam:Ictidomys tridecemlineatus contig091377, whole genome shotgun sequence.
AGUGUUGUGGCUCAGAGGUAGAGCGCUUGCCUAGAAUGCAUGAGGCACUGGGUUCAAUCCUCAGCACCACAU